GACGGUGUUGUUGUUGUUGUUGUUGGCUGGCCUGCCGACGGACUUGUUGAAGUAGCUCUUGACGGCGUCGUUGUUGGCGUUGGCGUUGUUCUUGUUGAGGUAGUAGUCGGUCACGCUCAUGGUCUUGCCGGCGGCGGCGUUGGCGUUGUUCUUGUUGAGGUAGUAGUCGGUCACGCUGAUGGUCUUGCCGGCGUUGGCGUUGGUGGUGUUCUUGUUGAGGUAGUAGUCGGUCACGCUGAUAGCGGCGGCGUUGUUGGAACCAACACCUGCACCUGCACCGGCGGCGUUGGCGUUGUAGCGGUCGGCGCUGGUGGUUGUGGCGUUGCCGAAGGCGAGCUUGGCGGAUCCGAUGAGGCCCGGGGAGUUGGUAUUGCCGCCGGGGAAGGAGGAGGAGGGAUCCGGUGGCGAGGUGGUGGAGGACCAGAUGGAGUCGGCGAUGGAGAGGUUGGAGAAGUUGUUGUGCAGGCGCAGCUGGUCGCUGAAGUUCCAGAACUCGCGGUCGUAGGAGGCGUCCAUGGCGGAUGGAUGGAUCGGGAGGUCGGCGGUCGGGUCCUCCUCACUACCUCUCCUCCCCAACCAAACCAACUGGUGAAUGGAAGAAGAGGAUGGAUGCGAUGCGAUGUCCAGGACUGCCGGAUGGGAGUUGGAAGAGGGUAGCUGUAGCCUGUAGGGGGAGGAACGAGAACGGCAAGUGGGGCCGGGCCGGGCCGGGCCGGGCCGUGCAAGCAAAGGCAGGACUGCCGUGCCCCCUAAGAUUACCCGAAUUUCGGGUCGGGUAAUUGAAAAUUCGAGUAUCCGAUAUUAGUUUUGAAAAAACACUAUCUAUAAUUUCGAGUAUCUGAUAAUUCGGGUUCGGGUUCGGGUAUUCUCGAUUUACCCGAAUUUUCAAAAAACAACACACUACACAAAAUUUCAAUAGCAAUUUAUAUAUCAUUUCAACAGCAAUUUGUAUAGAAUUUCAAUAGCAUUUUGUAUAGAAUAAUAUAUUACUAUCACUUGUGCAAACAAAGAUAAUUAUGUUCUAAUAAAUUGAUAAGUUCUAAUAUUUAACUAACAACACAUGAUAAAUACAAUGAUAUAGUCAAAUAUUUGGGUAAUUCGGGUAGUUCGGGUACCGAGGGAUAUUACCCGAAUUACCAAAAUAAUUUCGGGUAAUCAAAAUCGCUAUCCGAAUUUAGGAUCGGGUACCUCGGGUUCGGGUAAUUCGGGUCCGGAUCCGAAUAAUGGGUAUCGGGUAAUUUGUCUAGGCCUAGUGCCCACUGGGAGCCUUCCUUUAAUUUUUGUAGACCACGCACUCACUAGUCACUAGGCAUCAUCAGUUCCCUUUCACUCCUGUUCCCACGUACAAUUUGUAUACAUAAUCUUUAGAAAUUCAUUUAAUAAAUUCUAAGUAUACUUGUAUAUGUGUAAAUUAUGUUAUAUAUUUUUGUACGUGGUCGCGUAAUGUAUAUAUUUUAGUCUUGUAUAAAGUUUUUUAUUGGUUGUACUCGAUGGGUUUUUUUUUUCUAUAUCAUCAUCAAAAGUAGUACACACGAUGUACAAAUUUAUGCCGACGAGAAAUGUCCAAAUCUCUUGCUUGUGCACUUUAAAGGGGGGUGUCGAUGAGAUGUGUUGUGUUCUACCGACCGGGAUCAACCUGAUCUGAUCGGUCGUUCAUUAGUUUUCUAAUCGGUUGCCAAGAGUUUUGGACUAAUCAGAUUAUACAAAGUAUCGGACUUGUAUCUUAAAUUGUCUUUGUCACCAAGUCGGUGAAGCACCUAGGUUUGUGUCUACUUGGCUAGUCGGCCUAGCCCAUCCCUUUCUAUGUGCAUGUGUUAUAUUAAUUUCUCAAUAAAAUUUAGGAGUAUAAAAUUUUAUUGAAUUUAUGUCAUAUUAAUUUCUAUAAAUAACUUGAAACAAUAAUAAUAUAAGGUAUUUUGAUAACUUUUUAGAAAAAAAAACCAUGCUAAAAAGGUACCAUGACUAUGUUUGUUUACAAAACUAUGUUAUUAAGAUAAUAAAUUAUAGUGAUAGGUUUUGUGUGAGAAGUACUAUAUGUAGAAAUUGUGAGCAUAAUUUUGUAGCUUUUGAAAAAUAAAACAAUUGUAGAAACGAAUGUUUCAAUAAAAAAUCACACACAGGGGCACGUGAGAUUGACAAAUACCAAGAGCGGAACAAACUAAGAGCUUAUUUGGAAUACAUGAAAAGAAAAACAUGAAAAUUGGAAAAACAUAGAAAUAUUUUAUGAUUUUAGAUGCAAAAUAGAGGAUUGGAGGAAUUUUGAUGGAAUGGCCGUUGAUAGGUCAUAGGAAUCCUAAAGGACAUAAUGAAGAUGUUUUAUUUUCAAUAGAUAUAGCUAAAACAUUUCUUCUACAUGACAUUAUAUCUAGUAGCAGUCCUGAGUUUCUCGUUUCUACCAACAGUAUUUCCACAAAAAAAAAACGUUCACAAAUUAUGUGCAAAAAAAAAAAAAAAACACGUUCACAACGCAUGCAAUCCAAAGGAGACCUAAAAAUGGUGGAUUGGUGCGACGGCCGGAAGGACACGCGGCUGGACGCGGUUAGCCCCAGCCCUAAUCAGGAGUACUACUCUUUGGCUAGUGGUGCGCGUGCACCCACACCCAUUGAUUGUAAUUUAAUAAUAAAUCGUAUUAUUAAUGUCCCUAUUCCGUUCCGUUCCGUUCUGUGCCGCCAUAGCUGCCAAGCAAAUUCAACCAAGAUGCUUCUAGAAGCGCUUUGCUUAGACUACAACUAUUUUGGCGUACGGCUCAAAGGCUUGUUUAGCUCCGAAUUUUUUUAUUUGACUACUAUACUAUUUUUAUUUUAUUUGAUAAUUAGUGUUUAUUAUGAACUAACUAGAUUUACAAGAUUCAUCUUGCGAUUUAUAAACAAACUGUGAAUUGAUUUUGUUUUUAUUUACAUUUAAUGCUCCAUGCAUGUGUAUAAAGAUAUGAUGUGAUAAGUAAAAAAAUUUUAAAGUGUGGAACUAAACAAGGUCUUAGUAGGAGUUUUAUCGGUAUUCAAUAUGGUGUCAAGUAGGUAUUUUUUUUUAUGAAAUGGUACUAUUGAUAAAGUUGUUUUUUACUUUACCGAUGACUCAUGCUCAUCUAUGAACUGUAGCAAGAAGUUGAAACUGUUUGGAGCCGGCCGGGCCUAAAUCAAUUUGAGCUUCCCACACUCAAAUCUUCGCACUCGGUCGUCUCGGCGAGAGAAAUAUGUACAGAUGUAUAUGUUCAUACAUGCAUAACACCGCCGUACAUGUGCGAACACACCUUUGCACGCUAAGACUUUGUUUGGAUGUAGUGGAUUCACAUCAAUCCACAUGUGUUGAGGUAGAUUGGAGUGGAAUUUGAACUAAAUUCCACCCUAAUCCACACCAACAUGCACAUAGAUUGAAGUGAAUACGACAACAUCCAAACAAGACCUAAGGUGAAAUUUAGCGGCUGCUAUUUAAGUUAGCGGACCGCUAUAUGUAGCACUUCACAAUUCUUCGUAGCGCCCGCAAUAGUAUGGUAUGGUAUGCAACAAAUAAAUAAUUUUAGUUCACCUAAGAUAACAGAUGUCUUAUAUGCUACUUUUUUAACAAUGCUGGUCUUAUAAAUUAUUUAUGACUCUCAUAAUCUAUUUUUUAUAAACUCUGAUAUAUAAUAACUUAUAUAAGUUGUGGAACACUAUGUUUUUUUUUCUUAAUUUAAGUAUGUGAGACAUCGGUUCUUUGAGUUGUGUAUAGUUAAAUGUUUAUUUAUACCUAUUAUUCAAGAUAUAUAUGCUUAAAUUUAUAUGUGGUUAUCAUAUGCCUCUAUUGGAACUUAGCGUGCGCAAUAGUGCCCGCUAUCUACUACCAAUCCGCUAUAUGCUAUUUAAUACCUUGAUGCUCGUCUAAGAGAGAUUGGAUCAAUAUGUUAGAAGAUUGACAAACUUAUCAUAUAAGACUACCAGUGUUAACGAGCACAUCAUCUAUCGCUAGAUCACUAGCUAUUAACAAUGUGUUUCAUUCAUACAAUUCAUGACGGCUAGGAACGGGCAAAUCAAGAGUUUCACUUAGGGUCCAUAAUAUAUGUGUCCCAUUUUCUCAAACAUGUUGCAUCCAGCCACCACCUACCAGGUAUGUAAUAAUUCAUCUGUUUCAAAAAAACUCGAUGUUUUAGGAUAGGUUAUUAGUCCUUAAAUAAAAUUGUCCUAUUCAUUGAGUGACUCUUGCUAAUUAAGAAAUAUAAGGCCUUGUUUACUUCCAAAUUUUUUUGCAAAAUAGGUAUAGUAGCACUUUCGUUUGUAUUUGACAAAUAUUGUCCAAUCAUGGACUAACUAGGCUCAAAAGAUUCGUCUCGUCAAAUUCGACCAAACUGUGCAAUUAGUUUUAAUUUUCAUCUAUAUUUAAUACUCCAUGCAUACGUCUAAAGAUUCGAUGUGACAGGAAAUCUGAAAAAUUUUGCAAAAUUUUUGGGAACUAAACAACGCCUAAGUCGCUAAAAAGAUUGAGUGGAGGCAUGCAUACUUAUAUAUCAGGUUGAUAUGGGCCCAAUCUAGUUUCAAGAGCUAAAGCAAUACGUUUUCUAAGACAAAAUUUUAAUCCUAAAACAUCGUAGAGAGAGAGAGAGAGUACUUUCUAUCAUGUGCAUGUUAAUUGUACUGGCACUCUUGCUAACACCAAUCAAGCUACACUUAAGCCGGCACUAAUUUGUGGUGGAACCGGAUGUUCCUAAACCAUGAUGGCUACGGCUAAACAGCAACUUGGCUGGUGAACUUUAUAUAGAAGAAAACUUGGUAGAUACACCUGUCAUGUGUUGAUGCAUUGCAAAUAAGACAAGGUCACUUUAUGCUAAAGCCUUUUAGUUUGCUUAGUGGGGAAGAUUAGGCUUCGCAUAAGACACUAGGGUGAGGCGCGGCGAUGGAUGGAUAUGAAUCAUAUGAUGCCGACCCUUCACCAGUUAGGUCUUGUUUGGAUGUUGUCGGAUUUAUUUCAAUCUAUGUGUGUUGGUGUGGAUUAGGGUGUAAUUUAAUUCAAAUUCCACCCCAAUCCACACCAACACAUAUGGAUUGAUGUGAAUCCGACUACAUCCAAACAAGGCCUUAUAGUUCACUAGUCACGACUCACUCACAACCAUAUGACAUUGUCACUCCUAAUGAUACUUUUCUCACCAAUGUUGUCUGCUCCACUUGUCAUUUCAUUUCUAGUUUCUUUCUCUCUGUGUGUUCUUUCCACUGGAAUACAGACAGACCGUGCAAAAAAGCAUGCACAGCAAGACAGGACAGAACUUGUGACCACUGAGAAUGCUUAUCCUAGGGCAGCCGGCAGCGCUACGCGCUUUCAUUUUGUGGCAAAUAAAAAAAAAUACUUUCUCCAUCCCUAAAUAAAUUAACUUCUAGAAUCUACGUCAGUUAAAACUUUUUAGAUUUUGGCUAUUUUUUUUAGAAAAGAGUAACAAUACAUAUGACAUAAAAUGAGUACCUUAUGAAAAUAUAUUCCAUAAUAAAUCUAAUGAUAUUAAUUUGAUACCAUAAAUUUUAACAUUUUUUGAAAUCCUAAAAAAAAUUGAAUUAAUAUAACUCUAAAAAUAUAUUUAUUUAGAGACAGUGAAAGUACACGGAUAAGAUUUUUUUAGACACAUACUCAUAAUCCACGAGUAUUAGUGUAGAUUGGAGUCAAAAGUUAACUAGUUUUUUCUUUAUCUUGAUACAUAUGAAUUACAGUGGAGUGCAGUUAAAUAAAACCUUAGCUAUACAUAGGGUCAAAGGAAACAAAUAUUUUAGUCUGUACCGAAGAACUAUGAUGUGUUUUAUAGAUUUCUGGUGAGAGUUCAGGAUUCAUAUAUAUUUUUCAUACAGUGUCUGCACAUAUGUCCUGUCAUUUCAUUUCAGUUUCUUUCUUGUCUAUUCUUUCUGGACGAGGCACUCGAACGCAGACAUACUGUGCAAAAAUGCAUGCAUAAGAAUCUGUGACCAUGAGAGUGCCUUAUCCUGGCAAAAUAUACAGUGCAAUACAAACCCAGAGGUAACUGUAAAACAUGCAAACAUUUUUAUUUUGUGGCAAAUGAAAAAUACAUUAGCAAGGGAUUUUUAGAUAAGCACACCCACUUUUAGGAAUGCGCACACACCUUAUUUCGAGCACGCACACACCUUAUUUCGAGCACGCACACACCUUAUUUCGAGCACGCACACACCUUAUUUGUAGCUCAGAUGUUCAUAGGGGUGAAGAAAACAAAUAUUUUAGUCUGCACAAAAAAAACUAUGAAAAUGUGUUUUAUAGCUUCUGUUUGAAUUCUUAUGAUGAUGUACAUUUCUUUUUCCUAGAGUGCCUGGCAAGGAUUAACAUAAAGGCUCCUUUAAAAGCCCAGUUGGAAAUAGUAAGAUAUAUAUGUCACUGAUUUACAGGAGACGAUUUCAACAGCUCAACCGAAUUCUAGUUGCAUUGCUUUGCCUAUUAUCUCUGCUCAAGUGCUAACAAAUCCACAUAACACCACCUCGGUUGGAAGAACAAAACAACAGUAAUGUACACUUUCUCAAGCAACAUCUAUAUAAUACGACAUACGCAUCAGUUUACAGCUAUAGUCUUUGUAUGUACUUACAUAUUGUCUCGCUUGAUUGCUUUCUGCUUUCACCAUUAGAUGCACAGCAUCUUCCCGCAGUCUACAUACUUUAGUCAGAACUUCACAGGGCUCCUCCAGUGCUCCAUGCAAAAUUGUGCAAACCAAAGUCCAUGCUAUUCAUUGAGAAACUACUGUCAGCUCUGGCACUCUAAAUCCUCCAUGGCUUGCUUGCUACACCCAGCUGAUGAUGGACAUCAUUGUUGCUUCCAUCUAGCAUCAGCAAUAUAUUGUUAAGAUUAUUUAGAAAAGAGGUGUCAACCAAUUAUGCAUCUAGGUUCAAAUUGUUGAGACUAGAAAUCCAUACUUCCACGCUGUCUCAAAACAAAAAAGCAUACAGCAAUGACAAUGUAACAAAACAGCAGCAGCAGUCCCUUCAGAUAAUGCGAUGAUCCAUCCUGCAAAACGCGUAAACGAGUGGUCACUCUUUAGGGCUAAUACCACAAUAUUGACAGCACUCCUAUGGCCAGUAAUAGCACAUCAAUGGGCUUGAUUCCUAGAGAAAAUUAAAUUUUGCUGCACCCUAGAAACAAGGACACAGCCCAACAGCACAAAAUGUAUAUUUCUUUUCUUCAUCAUAAAUAAAAUAAGCACAUACAGCUAACCAACCAAGAUUUAUGAAUGUUCUGCUAAUGAAAUAUCCAUGCUAUCAAUCAUGUUUAAGAUGCAUCAAGGAGGGUGCAAAAGAAAAAGGGGGAAAAAUACCUGGAGCGUGAAGGCCGUUACUAAUACUGCAAGAAACAAAGAACCAGUCUCAAGCAAGUUGAAAUCAAGAUCCAUCGGGACUCCCAUGAUCCAUGCUACAAGGACACUCAAUGGCACCUAGCACAUUUUGCUUCCACCAUUAAAGUUUACUGAUGCAAAAAAGCACAUGGAACUAUCUCUACAAGUUUAGUUAACACCCACCACAAACAUGGAAAUCUGUGUAGCAGAACCCAAAGAUACUCCGAGGGUGAUGUCCUGUUUGAACCAACAAUGUUCUGUUAGUAGAUGCUACCACAACAUUGCAACGAGUGUCCAAGAGCUCCUCAAGUUCCCUACCAGCUUGUUUUUAAAAGCAAAUAUGACUGCACCGGCAUGCUCUGCUGCAUUACCAACUAUUGGAAUUAAGAUGAUGCUAAUGAAGCUGACAGAUAGUUCCCAUGAUUUUGAUGCUGCCUGUUAACAUGACUCUCUGUCAGAAAACCACUAGCUGCAGUACAACCUACAAUAGUGUAUGUGUUGACUGAAAUGGGCAAAAUAAACAUGGCAUUGUACUGCAUGAUGGAUACCUCAAUUGUACUCACAACAAACUCUGAUAGGACUGCUGUCAUCAGAGUCAUGACCCCCAGCCAAAUCAUGGCACUGGAAAAUCCCAGUACCACCUCGUCUUGAGAGACUGAAUCAUCACCAUCAUCUUCGACCUACAAAAACAUUUGAUUGGAUCACGCAGUCAUAUUAACCAACUGGUUCAAUGUUAGCAGCUCCUGGUGGUUACAAUCAGCAACAUAUCACAGAACACACCUCUUGGGGCUCAAAGAGUUGGCGGUGGGUUUUCAGUUGGAAGAAAAGGUAGGCUACAUAGGCAAGGAGCAUGACAAUGCUGCAUGCUCGGGAUAGCUCCAGUUCUGAAUCCCAAGAAGAUACCGCGUGCUCCCCGGAGCUCACAGCAUACCUCAGCAUCAGUGGCAGAGAGUGGCAUAGCACACCAAGAAUCAGAAGUCCUGUGCUGACAUCUACUUGCAUCUGUACACAACAAAACCAUAUAAUCAUCGUAGUAAGACAAAAAAUUUCUUUUGGUAUUUUCAAGGACAGCUUAAUAAUAGUGAGAAAUAGCUGAGUUGGUUACUCUGUCGUAUAGCUGCUCAGUUCCAAGGUUAGCCAGGCCACCAAGGAAAAGGGAGGUUCCAAGCACAAGCAACAAGUUGGACAAGACUGAGCCGAGUAGGGAGCAUUUCACCACCACUACCUUGCCUUCAUACAGCGCAAAGAUUGCAAUGAUGACCUCUGUUACAUUUCCAAAUGUUGCAUUCAACAGUCCACCCACUGCAAUUUACUGGGGCAGGUUAGGAAACAAUGCAAAGGUUCUGGCCUGGAUAAGAAGACUGAAUCUGACAGUAUUUAUUUUUUUACCAGUAGGCCCUGUGUAAAACGCAACCUGCCUGCAACAUUAACAUAUAUUACAUAUAGCGGAAAGAUAUUAAUCAACAGGAGGUAUCAAGAACAUGGUAUGAGUAUGAUAAUGAGCAGAACACACUUACUCAGUCAGAAAGCUAAGUCGCUCAGCAAGAGGAACGAGACCGAUCAAGCUAAGCACAAAGACCCAUUCCUGUUGAGUUUCAAGAAGAAAGCAUCCAUUAAGAAAACGGAAGGGGAGAUAUGGGCGUAAUCACACAUUGGCUACAAAGCAUCACUUGUUUCGAUCAGUUUUAGUUCCAUUGGAAUGCAAUACUGAGAUGGAGUCGUAUAUUUAGUUGUAUCUUGUUGAAGUUAAGCAAACGAUGGUGAAGUGGCAAUGGAACAAAAGAAGCGAGGCCCAUUCAGCAUCUAGCAAGGUCAUAUUUGGGGCAAUCCAAUCUGUCCUUUUGUUUGUAUAUCAUGCACUCAUGUGUUUGGACGAGGACAGAGAAGAACAUUGUACGUGUGCAAGCUAGUUCACAUGCCCAGCAGGACCACGGUGAAAAGACAAGGUAGAAGUUUGUCCUGUUGCAAAAUUCACAUCUCAUGGGAAGAACUACAUAUCACUGUUGUGCCUAGUGAAAGUCAAGUCAAUCUGCUGAGCUGGAGCUAAAACCUGAAGCUAAUCUGUCGUGUUGUCAACUGUGUCAUUUGUGAGUGAGGUCAAAACUGAAGGGGUAGAAUGAAGGAGAAUAUUGGGUGAACGGAUGAAGAAUAAUAAAUCAUGUUCUGGUGAGUAGAUGGGCAAGUAGAGCAGGACCGACAAGGUGUUAGAUAGGACGUAGGGGAAGCAUGCUCAUGCAUGUGAUUGGCGGAUUAGUUUAGUUGUGGUGCUAGUAUUUCAUUCCAUGAUUCCAUCUGUGUCAGACCGAACAGAAUUUGGCAGCAACAGGCUAGCUAGCCCACAUGGUCACAUGUAUGUAUGCAAAAUUACAAAUACUCUGCGAUUGUAGCCAUCAUCGGAGCGAGAGUCUGCUUCUCUGUUCACGCGUUGUGGUUGUGGGUGGUGUAUUUUCUUUGACUUGGAUGGGUAGUUUAUGCAACAGAGUUGCAGUUGCAGGGUUGUUUAUUGUUUGGGAAUGUGCUUGGGAAGUGGCUGGCAGGCAAUAAAUAGACUGGUAAGAGGGAUGUGAGAUGCAGAGAAGAGAGCGGUGAGAAUUGAGGCGGCACAUGAAGCGGAUGCAAUCAUGCCUCCUGGGCCUGGCUGGCCGCUGGCGUGAUCAAAAUGCUCUUUUUUUAUAUACAUACAAUACAGUGCGUAUAACUAAAAAAACAAUGUAUAAUAUCUGUCUCCCGGCCGGUCUGACUGUGCGCGUUGAAUGAUGCAGAGAAUAUCAAUCGAAGAAGAUGCCCAAAUUUUGAUCGAACUGGAGUAGCACAUACGAAUACACGAGCGAGAAAUUAAAGGGGAAAACGAUGCGAUGACGGUAGGAUCGGAGGAGGAGUUGGCUUGCCUGGCCGAAUUGGAAGAUUCGCGCGGCGAGCGCGAGGAGGACGGCGGGGAAGAGGAGGGCGAGCUUGGUGGCGAGCAGGACCUCCUGGAAGUUGUCGAGGAGGCGGCGGAGCGUGGCGCAGGGGACCUUGCGGAGGAGCGCGAGGUCGGACUUCUUGCGGAGCGAGGAGGAGGACAUGUUGUGGGCGGUGCGGUGGGCGAGGAGUCGGGCGGGCAUCUCCUUGGCGUUGCCGUUGGCGGCGGCGGAGGAAGAGGCGGAGGCGGAGGAGUCGAGGAGAGCGGCGGCGGCGGAGUCCAUGCCGAUACGCCACCUCUGCUCCUCUGCGCCAACAGCGGCGCCGCCCCAGUAGGAAAGCGGGGGGCCGAGGGCUGCGUUGGUCCUCGUGUGUGGAGCUGGAGCCGCGCCUGCAGCUACAGGCAUUGCCUAUUGGGUUUUGCCGUUCACCUACGGUGGGUGGGCCUUGCUCGUCAGUCACCCAGCUCCAGCUCCUUGCUCUCCACCGUCACACACGGCGUCACCGUCGCCGUGGCUACAGAAAUCAGAUCACCAUCACGGCAAUGCAAUUGCCAACUGGGCGGCCGGGCCUGCUGCUGCUGCUGCUGCUUGCUGGAGAAAGAAGAAGGGCCGCUGGGAGCUCUGAUGCGAAUGCGAUGGAUCUAUCUAGCUCUCACAUGGAGUAUAGUAUACGGGAGUACGUAUAUACUAGUACGUAGACAGACAGCAGACAGGUGAGAUCGUGCUGGACUGGACAGACAGGGAGAGCCGGAGCCCGUAGCUAGAGAGCGCGCUGCUGCACCUUGCAGCCUGCAGUGCAGAUUGGAAUUGGCAUUCGAAUUGGGAUUGGAGGGAGAGAAUGGAUCAUUCUCAUGGCUUCGCAGGCAGGAUGUAGGUAUAUUUUGGGACUGACGCUUGUUGUGAUGUACGAAAGAACAAACAAAUUCACAUCAUUUUGAGAGCGAUAUUUUAGUCACUAGUUGUGCUCAUGAACUAGUCAUGGCCGUCUAGGCACACCAUAGAUCAACUACCAGUAGUAGAGUGACAGCGAUACUUGAAUAAUUCAUGAUCAGCUAGCUAUAUGUUUAUUUUAGGCCUUGUUUAGUUAUCAUCCUAAAACUUUACACCAUGUUCCAUCAAAUAUUUAGAUACAUACAUAAAACAUUAAAUAUAAAUAAAUAAUAAUAAUUAAUUUGAUAGAUUGCAAAUACUUUUCAAGACGAAUCUUUUAAGUUUAAUUAGUUCAUGAUUAGAUACUAAUUGCUGCAGUACCACAUGUGCUAAUGAUCGAUUAUUUAGACUUAAUAAGUUUGUCUCGUGGUUUACUAAUGGAUUCUGUAAAUUUAUUUUUUUUUAUUAGUGUCCAAAUACCUCAUGCGAUACCUUAUUAUGUAAUAUCCAAUAUAACACCUAAAAACUUUAACUAAACAAACCUUUAAUUUGGGAUAAGCUGAUUUAUGCUUAAUUCAUGUUGUUUUACUUUGGGACAGCUUGUUAGUUAAUUAUUUGCCACUUUAGAUUUUUUUUUAAUCCCAAAUUUGCUAUCGAAGUCGCACUAAGGGCACUCACAAUGCAAGACUCUAUCAUAGAGUCCAAGACAAUUAAUUACAUAUUAUUUAUGGUAUUUUGCUGAUGUGGCAGCAUAUUUAUUGAAGAAAGAGGUAGAAAAAACAAAACUACAAGUCUUAUUUAGACUCUAAGUCCACAUUGUUCGAGGUAAUAAAUAACUUUAGACUCUAUGAUAGAGUCUGCAUUGUGAGUGCCCUAACACACGCAUUGACACAAAAGGCCUAGCGUUGGAAACCGUGCUUGGGACUUCUAUCGAAACUAUGAAGGCAAGGCCAAUGAAGACUUUGGCUGUAAUUGGUAGUGACGGAUUCCUGCACAAAUGUUUUAGAACUGGAUUCUCUCCAGAAAUGUUUAGGAAGAAUCAAAAUCACUCUAUAAGACCAUUGACGGAUAGGUUAGAUUCUGGUUCCUCAAACAUAUGCUUUUUCAAUAAAAAAAUCUUAUAAAUAAAAAUAUGUUUCACAAAAAUUUUAAUACCUUUUUGUUUACAACGAACAACUUAAAUAAAUCCAUUUUAACUUGUUGCACUUAAUUCUUGGUAAACUAUACAAUGCAAGUCCACAAAGGUGACGACAAGGAUAUAUCGGUGUGAAACCACAUUUUAGCAUAUUCAACCAUGUAGUGCAAAAAGAAGAAACGUUUCUCUGUGUUUCUGGAACGCUAUCAUUCAAAUCGUUUAGUGCCAAUUCUUGUGUUUCAUGUCUGAAUCAUAAAUGCUCCAAGAUACCAAAUAUAUCCUUAGGUCCUCUUUGCAAGGGCUUCGGUUUUCUCCAAAGCAGUGAAGCCAAAAAAACUGCAUUUUACGGGUCAUCAAUCUAAGGCCCAAUUUAGAUCUCUAUAGAUAAUAGCUAUUUGCUAUCUCUUUUGGAUACAAACAGAUGGAGCUAAUAACAUAGUUAAUUGUUAGUUAGACCUCUAGAUAAUAACUACCUCACUAGUUGGAUCAAAUUAGAUAAUAGUACUCUCUUUGUCAUUGAAAGAAUCAAUUUCUAGAGUUUUUCUAAGUCAAACUUUUUAAACUUUGACCGAAUUUCUAGAAAAAGCAGCUAAGAUUUAUGGUAUGAAAUUAGUAUCAUUAGAUUUUUUAUAAAAUAUAUUUUUAUAAGAUGCUCAUUUUAUAUCAUCGAUGUUGUUACUUUUUUUCUAUAAAAUUAGCCAAACUUAAAAAUAUUUGACUGACAUGAGUUAUAGGAAUUGAUUCUUUAAAAGGACAGAAGGAAUAGCUCAUAGUAAUCUUAGUAGCAUUUUCAUUAGCUGUAUCCAAACACCCUUCAGCUACUAGUUAGCUAGGUAAUAUUAGAUAGGAGCUAUUAAACAGCUAACUAUUAACCGAUAAUGAAUCAAACAGAGCCUAAUAAGCUCAUUGUUUCAGGACGCGGUUUUUUUGCCCUUAAGGGCAUAUGCCCUCACUCUCUCACCCAUUGGAUUCGAUUGAGAAGUGUGCAAACACACAUCUCAAUGCAUUGAUAUGUGUGUUUGCACACUUCUCAAAGCGAAUCCAAUGGGUAGGAGAGUGAGGGCACAUGCCCUCAAGGGCAAAGAAAACUUUACCCAUUGUUUCACCAGUAAAAUUUUGUAAUCUUUACCUAUAUACUCCAUCUUCUCGUACUGAAAAAAAAGGAGAUUUAAGAAGAUACAUACAGUACAUCUAGGUGAGGUGGACCUGCAUGCUCAUCCGUCGGAUUAAGAUCGGACGUUCGAAAAUAGAUGGACCGGAUCACCUGCUGGUGUUGGAGAAGAUGGCCUCGAGAUCGUUGUAGAGGUUCUUGGACUUGGACUUCCACUCCCCACUCCUCGCCUUGCUGCCGCUGGUCGACGCCUCCUCCUUGCCGGCACCGGCGCCGCCCGGGACCGCAUUGCCCUCCUUGCUGAAGCUAGCCUUCGCCAUCUCCCGCAGCUGCCGAAGCCACCACCGCUCGUUGUUGGAGCCCCGGGAACUCCCGCCCCUGCCCCCAUCGGUCUCCGUCGACGCCGACACGCUCUCCCCGGCUCCACCGCCGUCCGGAGGUGGCGGGUCCUGCUGGUGCUUCACCGCCACCCGCUCGCCGAGGGCCGACGAAGGCAGCACGAGCAGCAGCAGGCCCAGGCACGCCGUCUUGGCGCCGUCCAGGAACGAGCUCCGGUCGGCGCUCAGCAGCCGCGCCUGCCGGUACAGCGCGUUCCACUCGUUGCACACCUGCGCCGCGAACCCCAGUACGAAGGCGCCCAACAUCGCCAGCCCCACGCCGCGGGCCUCUCCGUCGGGCAGCCACCCGCCGCCGCCGCUCGCCGCCGACGUCCUGUCGAUCAGCGCCAGGCACGCCGCGAACACGGCCACCUCGCUGGCCACCGACAGGAUCUCCACCAGCUGAACCCGCUUCUUGAUGAAGGGCUUCUUGAGCAGCAUGAAGAAGAGCUGGAACGAGGCGACGGACAGCACCGCCACGGCUUCCGCGCGCGACGACCGCCCCGACGACGCGUGCGCGCCGGCCACGAUGCCCACCGCCACGCGCUUCACCGACUCCAGCAGCGUGAAAUAGAUGCGGAGCACGCCGAAGAGCUUCUGGAUGAAGGUGAAGGGCGCCUCCGAGUCCUCGUUCUCGUCUUCCGACGUGAUCAUCCGCUCUGGUCCACCGCCUGCAGCGCGGCGCUUGCCGCCUCCGCCGCCGUGCGCGGCGAUCGGCGUCAGUAUGUGCUUGGGCGGGCCGCGCAGGUCCUCGAAGAGCGGGCCGAGCUUGGGCAGGCAGGCGGCGCGGCGCGGGUCCUUCCACGUCCACUGCCCGCGCUUGCCGGGUCCCAGCGUGCGGCGGACCAGCUCCUGGUACCAGUGGUCGUACUCCUGCCCCUCCUGGCGCACCUCCUUGUACAGCAGCAGCCUGCCCAUGGUGAUGCCCAGCGACAGAAACAGCAGCAGGCCCACCAGGAACGAAGUCAGGACGGCGGUGAGCACGAUCCCUAUCACCAGGCCGCACGUGGUCCCGCCCCUGAUGAGCGCCGCCGCUGCCUGGGCAACGCACGGCAUUGCCAGGACGACGACCAUGAUCUCCAGUCUGGGGAGAACCAGCGCGCCGAAGCCAUGCCGCCGCCGCUGCUCCCUGUCCCUGUACCUCAGCUUGAAGUAGACGAGGGUGAGGAGAUGCAGGAGGAUGAGGCCGCCGCCGAUGACGCCCAGCCAGAACAUGUUCCUGCCGAAGUACUUCCACCUGUAUGUGUAUGUAAUGUACAGUACACACAAGAAUGCAUGCUCAGCUCAUCAGUCCACUUUCUUCAUGCUACACCAUUGCGGAAGCAAGCAUCAACAACAACAAUGCAACAUACCCAUCCAAAUCUUGUAGCUUCAUGAUGAUCUGUGCCUCAGGCUUCAUGUCCGGGUUCUGCAAGGUUUUACACUUUGCUUGUUUAUUCUUCAGAAUUCAUCAGAAAUGCAAUGCAAGCAGUAAAAGCAAGUGACCUCGAAGAAAGAGCGGUACUCCAUUGCAGACAGCGGCAUCCCGUCCAGCGGCAACGGGGUCUGCACUGGCAUCACCGGCGUGGCGUCUCCCGGAGUUUGCAUCGGCGGUGUGGGUUUCCCAUCUUCAGGGAUCUCCGUUGGGAAUACCGGGUCUGACGGGAUGAUCUGUGUUGGCGUCACCGGCUGACCUUGUACUCGAGGAUAGGAGAAGUUUGUAGUGCCGACGGCGCUCCUCUCGAGCAGCUCAGAGUAUGCAAUGGCGGGCAUUGUGGAGUAUCCCAGGAAUGGAUCUGCAGCUGGGCCUUCCCAUGGGAGACGCAUGUAGGGGAUGCUCCAUUCUAUCCCCUUUGCAAACUCGUAGUACUCGAUUGGCAGGUUCACUGACAGCCAUCUUGACAGAGCAAAGAUUUGGAUGUGGCACGCCAUCCUCUGAAUAAAACUCACGAGAUCAAUCACCAAAUGGCCUAUACACUAUCACCCAUCCAUCUGUGAUGUAAUGUAACCAUGCAUGAAGAAUUGAAGAUGCCAUGACAGUCAUCGACGGCGUGGCAUACUUACCAGGACAUUUCUUGAUGGCUCUGAGAUCAUGUAAGAAGAGGGCCUCGAGAUAGCUCCGGAAGCGACGAGAGACGAUGUCGAGAUGGUGAGGAGCGUGGCAGCAGCAGCAGUUGUCAGAAAUAUGACAGUGGUGACUGCUGCGAUCCAAGACGAUGAUGCAGGCACAGAAUCUGCAGAUACAUACAGUACAUCAAGUGUCCUGCUGCCUGCCUAAUGACUGUCUGUAAGCAAAGGAAAUGCUCAUACAGUGCCUCACUAGAAGACGGUCUGAUGCCAGGUUGGUGUUUCCAGCCACGUCCUGGGCUGCGUUCUCGGUAACCUGAACCGAUACCAGCUUAUCGAGUGCCUGUAUCUGCAGCGUGUAUAUGCUCUUACUGGCUUCAUGAAAGCUGAAAUAAAGAACAAUGAACCAUGAGAUGCUAAUAACAGCAAUAGUUAUCUUCUCAUAGGCGAUAUCAGAGAUGAGUCAAUUUCUUAAUAUACAAUCUUGCCUCAACACAUUGCCCCCAAACACCUGCACUGCCGAGGAGCUGAAGUUGAACACAGGCUUGGCAAACUUGAUCAGGACCGGGAUGUCGCGGGAGCUGGUCCGCCGAGUCGAUGUGCCGAGUUUAACCCAAGGUCUCUGUGUAUCUACCACACAAGGUUACCGAGCAGAAGCAAAAAGAAACAAAGAAAUCAGUAGUAGUGAAUUCUAAGUUGGGUGGAGCAGAAGCAGAGGGUGGCUCUCUAACCAUAAAGAAACGUGAAUGGCUCUGCUGAAAGCACCGGAGUCCCUUGCCUGCUGAUAAUAGAGCUUGUGUCACAGGCAACGGUCACAAUGGCGGUGUCGGACAUCUUGUUCACCUAGUUUAGUUAUUACAGGAUCAUGCAUAGUAUAGUAUGUCAGAGAAAACAACUCGAAAUCAGUGAUUCGAACGAACCAAGAACGAGGAGGAGCGAUGGAAUCCAAUCCACAAACAGCAAGUAGGUACUACUCACAACAUAGCCGAAGCGGCGAUUGCCGAGGGUGCUUCUGUUGGUGGGCGUCAGCACGGCGUCCGUCGCCGUAAGGGCACUCAGGAUCUGCUCCGACGAGUUGAGCACCGGCUGAGCGAAGGAGAGGUACAUCCUUAAGUUGUUGUCAUCGUUGGUGGCCUGAACCAGCCUGGUGACGCCCUGUAUCUGCAGCAUCUUCUCAGGAACAGUGGCGGUGAUGUUCAUGGAGUCACUCCUUCGAUCUGUAUGUGUUUACACAGAACGGUGGUUUUUCAACACGCAGACGCAGGUAGUGAUUCAUGGCGAGCGUGCAUGGCGUACCGAAGCGCAGGGUGAAAGUGGAGUUGGGCGUCCUGGUGAAUGGGUGUCCGGCGGCGUCCGUGCAGAAGCCCCUGCCCAUGACGAGGAUGAGGCGGCCGUACUGCGCGUCCGGCGAGAUGGUGACGGCGACGGAGUAGCGCAGGCCGGGGCUGAGCACCUUGAGCGUCGACGGGUCCACAGUGCCGGAGCCGUACACGAUGAGCUGCAAUGCAACAAAACAACGUCAGUUUUUUUUUGGCUGCGCGUGCGUGCGUGCCUGCAGAGAGAGACAAUUGACAGUACAUUGCAGUAGGUGGCGUUGCAGACGAAUCCACCGCGGCCGGGGCAUGGCUCGGAGAAGGAGACGAGCGCCGACACGGUGGAGGCCGCGCUCGUGAACGCCGUCGGCCCCGCCGACACGGACGCCGUCGGGGGUACAGUGUCUGCAGGUACGUGAUUCACGGUCGGCACAGCACAGCAGGCUCGCAGUUACAGCGAUCAAUGCAAAGCGAAAGAAACUGAGGGUGAGGUCCGGCCAUGGCCAUGUUUGUUACUCAACCAACAUCCCAAGCGUAGGUGCCGCAGGUGGGGCUGCUCGGCGAUGAUGACGUCGUUCUCGCGCACGCCGUGAAGGUGUGGUUCCCGUCCUUGAGCCCGGUGUAGCUCGUCGUCGUCCCGUUGCUCCCGCCGCAGGGCGACGCCGGCUCGCCGUCCAACUGCAUUGGUGUACAUGGAAUGCAAACACAAGCAAGCAUGGAUCCGACAUCAAAUUCAAUCCAUCCACCUAGCAUGCCGGUGGCUCCAUAGGCUAGCAUAUACCAAUUCCACUGAUAGCAGAAGGAGCUGGAACAGGAGCCAGGAGGAGGAACAAAACAACAAGGAAAGGAAAGGAAAGCAGCAAGCAGCAGCCACAUGCAUCAUGGUCAGCGCUUGAAUGCAGGCAGGCAGCAAUGCCGUGGUAUGGUAUGGUAUGGUAUGGUAUGGUAUGGUAUGGUAUGGUAUGGUAUGGUAUGGUAUGGUACCUGGCAGGUGACGAGGCAGUCGGCGCAAGGCCCUCCGGUGGUGGCGCGCAGGACUCGGAAGGCGAAGGCGGCGGACGUGGACCUGGAGACGCGGCGCGGGGUGGCUGAGAAGCUGAGGGCGACGUCGCCGACGCCGGAGCAGAGCGGCGCCGCAGCAGCGAGAAGCAGCACAGCAAUGCGCAGCAGCGGCGGCGCAGCGCCCCAGCUCUUCCACACCAUGCCGUUCUGCUGGUCCUGGCGCCGGCUGGCUGCUCUGCCCGGAACGGAAGCAGAUCAGAGGACGAGUACGAGUAGUGGAUCCACUACUCCUGAGCAAUGCUGCAGCCGCUCCCUUUGUGUGGAAGGAAUCGUAUCGUAUCGUAUCGUAUCCUUGUGUGGGUAUUCGGUGUGGUAGCUCGCAGCAGCUACUGAUGAACUGAAUGGGCUGGCCUGGCUGGGAGCUGGGAGCUUGGGAGUGAAUGCGCUGUCUGUCUGUGCUACCAGACGCUCAAGUGGAGUGGUAAAAAACGGCUCAAGUGAAGAAGAGGCAGGAACAGAGGUACUACUCCGGUAGGUAAGGUAGAGCCAGGUGGACCGUGGACGGAGGAGGAAGAAGAUAGAGGAGGGGUAAUAUGCGAUGCGAGAGAUGGCAUCCAUCCAUCCAUCCAUGUGAACGUGAUUCCUUCCGGCCGAUGCGCUCCUGCAGAUGAAGAUGGGUGCCAUGCAUGCAACUUGAGCACGCCCGUGUAUGAGGACUGAGAGGAGAGAGUCAUUGCCCUAUUUACCCGUUGUUCGUUCAAAAAGAAAAAGAAAAAAUGGCCUAGUUACCCAGUCAAACAAACCACAUCACAGCUAGUAACUAGUAAUGCAUGCAGCAUGGCGCCCAGAUUCAAACAGCACAAACACAGGACCGCCUCAUGGUGCUGCUGGUCCCUUGUGAUUCUGCAAACUGGACCAUACCCGUAAGAUCAAAGGUGUAAGCCUGUAAUAAUAAGGAAUAAAUUAAGCAGCAGUGACAGUGAGCCACAGAUUCUGUAAUUUCUUUCACCAGCACAAGUCCACAUCCUUCUACUAGUAUAUGCUCUUUCUAACAAAAAUAUAAAUCAUGAAGAUCUAAGUGCACUUUGUGUUGGCUGGCUGGCUCAGUGAGAUGAAUGCACAUGCACAGGCAAGAAGCAGAAGCCGCCACAACCGUUGCAGGUGAGGUCAGGUGACCUAAUUUCCGUUUUUGUAUUCUUCACUCACUGCAGCAGCGCCAGCAACCAGCGAGAGUAUCUUAUUUCGGAUCCAUUCCAUGAUGCAAUGCAACACGACUGCCGCCACUGUAUCACCAAAACAUGAUACAAUAAAAUUUCUUUCUACUGUACGUAUAUAUAGCAGUAGGGAAGACAAGUGGCACGCGGGGGUGAUACAAUGCAAUGCAAUGCAGUUAUGCAAAUGCCUUCGAUAUAAAGAACAAAGAAACAAAGCUGUAGGUCUGAUUCAAAUCUUGCGUGAACCAUGGUGGUUAGAUUAAUAACUAUCAUAAGAAUGUAAUGCCAGAACCAUGUAAUUUCAUACUUACAUGGGCCUCAAUUUGUACUGGAUUCAUGUAUGGCCACGGGGAAAAAAACAAAGAAAAAGGAAUCAUCAGAGAGGUCACCAUGCAUCAGACACUACACUACUAUAAACGAUAUUCAUGGUUAUGUACAAUGUGUUCGCAGCACACAUGGGACGACCUUGUCAAACUCAGAAAGCAGAAAAAUGGAUUUAGGAUUAUUCUUCAUGUAGUGCAAGACUGAUUUCAAGAACCAAUGUUUUGGCAACUAGUAACAGUUUAUCCAGUUCCUCCCCACAGACCUAAAAUGUCUACAUUCCUCUCUCUCCAUACAUUGAUUCACCUGACCACAAUUUGUUACAUGCAUAAACACAAUUAUCUAUAUUACAUUAGGCCAAAUUGACGGUUCAUAAAGGCAGGCACGCCAUAUUUCUAGUGUUUCCUACAACUAAACAACUACCACACAACAACAAUCUGCACCAGCUGCAACAAUUACACACCAUUGUGUAAUGCAAGUUCAGCAUAAUGACAAUGCACACUUGUCAACAUUUAUCCUGAAUCGAUCAUAUGCAUCUGCCUUCCCCAAGUUUCCAUUCUGCUUUCGUAUUAAGUGCCAGAUGGAAAGUGUAUACCAUUUUAGUGACGGUCAGAGUUGUCAGCUGCUUCCUGAUCGCACCAGCAGCGACUGUGAAAACGAUGCAGGGCGGUGGAGGCCGCCGAACUUCAGCGCUUCCUUCCAUCAUCUAAACCACACUCUUCAUGCUAGACCGGGUCACUGGCUGAUUCUGCGUACACCAGAUGCCCACCCUCACCAUCCUUUCCAACUCCACCUCGUCGACACAUUCCCCAGCCGCCACAUUCUUCAAGUCACCGGAUAUCACGUACUCGUAGGCCCACUCAGAAAUGUUGCAUUCCUCACCAGCCAGCUUCAGUUCCAUGCUCUUCUUGCAUCUUAUCAUCUCAAGAAGCAUGAUGCCGUAGCUGUAAACGUCCGCCUUCACGCUGAUUGCCAUGUUCUUGCUCCAUUCUGGUGCAAGGUACCCACGUGUGCCUCGCACGCCGGUGAAAGUCUGUGUCUGGUUCCCUAUUAGUAGCUUUGACAGGCCAAAGUCCGCUAUCUUUGCCAUCCCCCCUGCUGUCAAUGAGUAUGUUCUCUGGCUUAAUAUCACAAUGAAUUAUAGGGACCUCUAUCUCCUCAUGAAGGUACUGUAACCCCCUUGCAACAUCUAGCACAAUUGCAACCCUGCUGCUCCAACUAGCCACUGCAUCUGCCUUUUAAAGGAGGUCCGCAAGGGACCCAUUGGGCAAAUAUUCAUACACAAGUAAGCGGUGCAUGCCUUCGUUGCAGAAUCCCAAUAAGCGCACGAGGUUACGGUGGUGUGUUCGUGCAAUUGCACGCACUUCCCGCUGGAACUCUCUUUCCCCAUUUUCCGCCAUCCUCUCGAGCCUCUUCACUGCAAUAUCCUUGUUACUGUUGGUCAAGGUACCUUUGAUCUUUGAACACCGAGCCAUAAGCACCUCUUCCUAACUCGUUAGCAAAUCCAUCGGUGGACAUCUCCAGAUCCCGGAAAGGAUAGGAUCGAAUAGCUACACUCUCAUCAUCAAAUUCUGAGUCCUGCAGUUGUGGAGGCCUCAUGUACCGUGAUGACAGCCGAUGCUUGCAGAGUAGCAUGAACGCUGAGACCACAAUAAGUGAGAAAAUGGCCAAGGCAGCGCCUGAUACCAACAUGGCAAUUGAGCUAGUGCUCCUAGUCUUUCUGAUAGGACCGUUGGGUUCAUCGGUGUAGACCUUCACAAAUAGCGUGGUGUUGCUACGACUUAGACUCCUGCCAUAUCUCAUUGGAAGCAUCUGCUUUGAGCAGUAGGAAUCGAACAUUGCAACCUCACAGGAACAGUCAGAGAGACAAAGAGCUUUGCAGGCUUCAAUUCCUGUAGUCUGUGGUGGAACAGCAUAUGAUCUAUCUGACCAUGUAGUAUUCUUCACCUCAACCAUCGUAGCUACCAGUCUGGUGUCAUCAUUAGAGCUAUUCCCUGUGCAGCCACCAAUCCGCACCCUCCAGCAACCUGGCAUGCUUUGGUUAGAACUUGAGAAUUCAAAACCAGGGAGGCAAGAGCAGCUAGUAUUUCCAUUAGGACUCAUAUGACAGAAGCUAUUUGGACCACAAACACCUUUCACAUCACACUGAUCACUGCUAGGCUUUUGCCAUUUGAUUUCUGUCAUGGGUGCUCCCCCCUGCCUAAAGAACACAUGGGAGUAGAGUCGCAAUAUACCAUCCGCGUCCAAAGUCAGAUGGAAGUAGACAUCUGCUUUAGAAGAUUGGUUUGUGAGGAACAACACAUUUGUAUAUGUUGUCUGUUGGUCGAACAUCCAUAGUGUGCCAUUGGGAUCCAAAGCAACUGUGAGGAGGUAGCCAUUGCCGUAGGUGCCAGUAUUCCAGUAUGAGCUAUCAGGGUCGACUGCAUCAACAGGAUACAACACAAGAUUGCCAUCCUGCUGGUUGGAAAGCCGAUACUUCCCUGUGGCAUCAUUAGUCUCAGAUACACUUGAGAACAGCUGGCUAUCAGGAAGUAGGUUCUGUCCUGGUAAUAAGGUAUCCGUUGGAGAACCAAAGGUGGACAAAAGUACCUGUUUUUGGCUGUUGUACAACACAAAGUUGCCAGUGUCCAUCAUCGCAGCAGAGACAGGCUGAGUAGAGGUGGCGAAUAUGAACUUCCCUUGGCUGCUAGCGUUAGCUGGAACCCAUUGAAGACCACCAUAAGUUAACUGAACUGAGCCACCAGAAACAGGGGGGUCAUCCCGGUUGGCAGUCCACACAAUCCUUCUGGAUUCAUCGAGGAUAAGCCAGACUCCGAUGGAGAAGCCCUCAUCGUCAGGAUAGAAGCCAAAAGCAAAGCGCCCCGAAGGUGAGAUCCAACUUUGCACGCCGCCUGCGUCGAUUGUGGAUGAACAACAGAGAGAGGUCCGCGCCUUUGCCAGGGAGAGCGAUCUAAAAGGACGGACGGGCCGAGCUCGUAAGUGUCAUGUGGGAGGCAUACGCGGGCCAGGCCCUGUGAUGUGAUGGGCCAACAGGCCCAGGGAGCUUUGCAGCAGCUGCUCUUGGACUUGGACUUGAAGCAGUUUGAGAGAGAUGGUGCGGAGCGGAAACAAACUACUGUAGGCAGCUGUUUCUUUUUCUUUCUUUCUUUUUGUUUUUGUACUUCGUAUAUAAAAUGAAGGCAAGCAAGCAUGUAAGUAUGGAUACAAGAUUGAGUCGAUUUUGACUGUACUGUUGUCGCUCACAUAUACAGAAAGAAAGAGAGAGAGAGAUUGAAAAAGAAAAAGCCUCCUCUCCUGUUCCUCCUUUAUAUAUAUAUUUAUGUAGGUGGGUAUUUUGACUUUCUUGUAGUAUGAUAGGAAAUGUGUAUACUCCACUAGAAUAAUUAUUCAUAGCACACAUCCAUAUUGUAAUUGUAACUGUAAGACUAAUAAUAUAUUUUCUCUAUCCCAAAUUGUAAGUCAUUCUAAAAAUCUUUGAGAAUCAAAACAUCUUUAAGUUUGAUUAAAUUUAUAGAAAAAUUACAAAGUUUGGUGGCAUCAAAUAGAUAUACUAUAAAAAUUUAAGUAAUAAAGAACCUAAUGAUACUUAGUUGAUAUCAUAAAUGUUAUUAUCUUAUCAUAUAAAUUUAGUCAAACUUUAGAGGUUUUGAUUCUUAAAUUUUUUUGAAAUGACUUAUAUUUAUAUUUUGGGAUGGAGAGAGUACGAGGUAGUAAUAGUAUAUAGCGGCUGGGUGGCACUUGCUGACAGAAUCAGGAUUUGGAUACAGAAUAAAAAUAUAGUAGUAGUUAAUGGAAAACAGAGCUGAGCGUAUAUAGUAUUACCACUAGAGCAGUAACUGAUGGAAUGGUAGAUCCUUUGUUUCUCCGUCUCCUAUUCUCCUGUAGUAAGAGCAUCUCCAAGGGCUUUGCAAACAAACUUUGCAUUGCCCUAUUUGCAAAAAAGAGUAGAAAAUACCUCUCCAAUGGUUUUGCAAAUAAGGUUUGCAAUUUGGUUAACUUUACAAAUAGAGGUUCAGGCUUUGCAUAUAUGCAAACCUUCCCACCACUUUGCAUCUACAAUUUCGACCUUCCACGUCGGACUCCGUCCCCUGGCCCCCACCCCGCGCGAUUUCUCUACGCUCGUCCGCCCUCCCUGCCGCGCGCGCCCGCCCUGACGGAGGUGGACGGAACCGAACUGACGCGAACGACGACGGCGACGAACGAUGAACGCGGCCAGGGCUGGGCGGCGACUGGCGCGAAGACCAGGGCUGGGCGGCGACUGGCACGCACGACGUACGUCAAAAUGGCGCGAAGGGAAAAAAACGCGCGGGCGCGAUCGGUGAAAAAAAAUUCAGGGGUGGGAUCCAUACUUUGGGUUUGCCAAGUCUAAAUGCAAAGUCCUUUGAAGUUGGACUAUUUUUAGACUUUGCAAAUGAGUUUGGGACUUUGCAAACAACAUUAAAUACAAAAUUUAUUUGCAAAGUCCCUUGGAGAUGCUCUAAGGCCUUGUUUAGUUUUGUAUGUGAAUUUUUUUGGUACUAUAGUAUUUUUGUUUAUAUUUAAUAAUUAUUAUCCAAUCAAAUACUAACUAGAUUUAAAAGAUUCGUCUUGUAAAUUAUAGAUAAAUUGUAUAAUUGAUUAUUUUUUAGUUAAUAUUUAAUGCUCUACGCAUGUGCCGUAAGAUUUAAUGUGACAAAAAUAUUAAAAAGUUUUUAGAUUUUGACUGUAACAUAAUCAAAAAUAAAUAAAGAAAACAUGUACUAUGUUGGUUGACACGUAGGUAGCGGGAGGACGUGUGGCUGUGCCUGCCUGCGUCGGCAUCGUCCACGUGCGCUCCUCUGCCUGUGUGAUUGUGAAUGGGUGGUGGUUUUGGGCGGCGGCGUGCGAACGGCGUCCGCUGUCUCCUGCCGACCGCGUACUCUACACGUAGACUAACGGCCCGGCCCGGCCCGGUGCGGACGGCGUGAACGGUGCCAUGCCAUGGUGGGGGUGGUCAGGAGCAACGGAACGGAAGACGAGGGGUUCCCAAAAGAAAAAGAAACGGCCUUGGCCUGACCGUCUUCUUCUUACCCAGCCCCAGCAGCCGCAGCCAGGCAAGUGACCGUUGCGCUUGCCAGCCCAGCAUCCUCUUCCUCUCCCUUGCCUUUUUAAUCAGGAUUAGGAUCGACCUAGGAGGAGGAGAGGAGAGUAAUUCAUUCAUUCAUCCAUCCAUCCACCAACGGUACCCUGAGCAGAGCAGAGGACAGCUAGGCAAGGCAAGAAAAUACUAGUAGUUUCUACUGUAGUCCUUCUCCUUCGGGCGAGGCAAAGGCAAGAACACGGACGGAGCCGUGCUCAGGUGGAUUCCGCAUCCGCUUCCGCCCAACGGAUUCAAUUCAUCCAUUCGUUCCACAACCCUCCUCCUCCUGCCCUGCCCUGCCCUGCCCAAGGAACAACAAGAAGCCACCAGCGCGCGCUACCUGCAGAUUGCAGCACACGCAAGGGAGCACAAGCAAGGCAAUCCAGGGAGAGACAGCUUGCACAUCCAUCCACCCCGCAAGCGCAAGGUGAGACAGACACCACUUCUAAUUACCUUCUUCCCUCCCCUCUCCUCUCUAGUCUUCCUGACUCUGACGAAUGAUGCGUCCGUCCGUUCCGCUUCGCAAAUCCUCUUCAUCCCUUGCGGUACCCGGUACGGUACGUAUGUCCUUCUCUCUUCUCUCCCCACACCCAUUAGAUCCAUCCAUCCAUCAAUCAACACACAUGCAAUUCAAUCUUGUUUGUUGCUCACCUCCACCACCACUUCAAACUGGUUUUUUUUCCCCAUCGGAUCAACUCAUCAAUCUAUCCAGAGAUCGAUCGCUCGCUCGACAAAAGUUCCUGAUUUUUGUUCCGCUUCUAGUUCACCAGCUAGCAGCUUCAUCUCACGAUUCAUGAUGAUGCAUCAUGCAAGGGCAGAUGCAGAUGCAGAUGCAGAUGCCUCCGAUUCGCAUCAAUUCCGCCCCCCUCCUCCUUUUCUUCCGUCUCCACUCUUUACGAUUCUUAGUCGUUAAGUCACGCCCUUUAAGUUUCUCCGGAGGAGGGGUUGGGGGUUUGCUCAAAACAUCCUCCUUUUGCAUUCCACUACCACGACGCGUUUGAUAAAGCACAAUAAUACAACCGCAGCUUAGCUUCUUCUUUUCCUUUCCUUUCCUUUCUUUUCUUUUCUAUAUAUAUUUAUUACUGAUUAUACUUGUACAUAUAUAUGGAAUCGAAUAUAUACAAGGAGUACUAGUGUAGUAUGUCGGCAAGGCAAUGAGCCAAUGGCAAUAGCAACGGCAACGGCAAAGCACAUCUUUCUCUUUGGUCAAAGAAGACUACGACGCCUCCUCCAACGCUUUGGGAUGCACGGAGUAUGGAUGGGAGUAAAGCCACCAGCUUUCGAGACCCUUCACAUGCUUUGUUCCACUCCAUCCAUUCGGCAACGCCACACGGCCUCUCACUUCUGUUAUCUGUUCCUUUCCAUGAGCUGUCCAUUUAUAAGACAUAAGCAGGAUCACAGUCCCCAUCUACCCAUUGAUUGCUGUGUGUGUCACCUUCCUUCUCCCCUGUGGCACUCAACACCGCCUGCCUGGCGUCCAGCAUCAUCUAUUGAUUUUAUUAUCAUAAUGUUACUAAUGCAUAUCGUCAUGUAAUUGGGCAACUUAUUCUCGUGCCACAAGCUCCCAGUCUGGCAUAAUUUACCUUGCCCCUGUCUCAACUGAUCCUGGGCAUCUAAUAAGCAACCACAAAUUCCUGUGUCUGCAAUUCAAUUCUCUCACAAGCUCGCUUCCUCCGGGGGCCAUCAUGCAUGUUUUUUAUUCAUGUGUCUGCAAUUCAAUUUUCUCUCGCAACACAAGCUUUGCUUCCUCUGGGGGGGCAGCAUGUUUUUUUGUCAUAUGGUUCGUGUCAUCCUUACUUUGUACAGAUGUUUUUGUACAUGCAGGAGUUAGAGGGCAACCAUGGCUUCGCUAAGUGACAUAGGCGUCGCCGCGGGUUUCAACGUAUUGACUGCCGUUGCCUUCUUGCUCGCAUUUGCAUUCCUUCGGCUGCAGCCCAUCAACGACAGGGUCUACUUCCCUAAAUGGUACCUCAGAGGAAUGAGAGACAACCCAAUCGUCUCUGGUGCAGCUGUGCAGAAAUUUGUCAACUUAGACGGGAGAUCCUACUUGAAGUUUUUAAACUGGAUGCCAGCUGCUCUCAAGAUGCCCCAGGAUGAGCUCAUUAACCAUGCAGGCCUUGAUUCUGUGGUCUAUCUACGGAUAUACAUAACAGGGUAUGUUGUAUGUCUUCUCUAUGUUCUGGUUAGUUAUACUGUUAUCUCCUGCUGUUUAUCUCUCUCUCCCACACACAAACUCACAUGCAUAAUGAUUUAGUGCUAAGUUGGGCAUCUUAUACAGGUUCACAUUGUUCAAUCUUCUAAUAUCUUCCAUCACUGUUUUCCCUGUCUUUCCAUGUCUAUGCACUAAUAGAAUUCUUACUAAUCACUGCAGGCUCAAGAUAUUUGUUCCAAUUACAGUUCUGGCUUUUCUUGUUCUGGUCCCAGUCAAUUGGACCAGUGAUACCCUAGGACACAACAAUGUAGUCUACAGUCCUAUCGACAAACUUUCAAUAUCCAAUGUACCCAAUGGGUCUAAGAGGUGAGCAACAGAUCAUGAACUAACUAUUUCCAACUCUUCUAGGCUUUACGCCUAGCUUAAAAGGCAGAGGCGUGGCCGCAUAUUUAAUACUCUCCAUGUUUUGUUCAGGUUUAUAGCUCACUUGAGCAUGGCUUAUGUCAUCACAUUUUGGACCUGCUAUGUACUGUUCAAAGAGUAUGAAAUUAUUUCAAACAUGAGGUUGCGCUUUCUAGCUUCUGAGAAACGCCGACCAGACCAGUUCACUGUAUGUUUUUUUGUAACUCUGUUAUACUUUGUUCCUGUUUAUUACAAUAGGUUUGGAUCCAUAUGUUUACUUUGUGUUGCAUAUCACAUUGAAUAGUUGAACAAGUAGAGAUGCUCUGGUAUAAAAUUACCAUCGAUGAUUUGAUCAACUCUGCGCUUUUUUUUUCAUUCUCAGAGUUCUACUGGUCGUGUAACCAAAUUCGUGUUCAGGUCCAUCUAUUACUUGGUCCAUGACUUAGAUUUUAUAGGGUGUACAAAUAAUUAGGAACUUGUGCAAAUGUUUCUUCCAUGUUCCAGAUAAAUUGCAUUCGAGUCUUAUGGCUGCAAAUCAAACAUGUUUCUUUAGAUCCUUUUCUGGAUUUUCUGGAAGUCAAAAUGUCUUUUACCAGAACUAUUUUUACAGAGUUGUCAUGAUAAGUUCAUGUGCCUCUGAGUUUGUUAAUUCAAAGUUACUAAUUUGCCAAUGUGCUUUAGGUCCUUGUGCGGAAUAUACCACCAGAUCCUGAUGAAUCAAUCAGUGAGCUUGUGGAACAUUUCUUCCUUGUCAAUCAUCCCGAUCAUUAUCUAAGACACCAGGUACUUCUACUAAACUGUGUCUGACUACAUUCAGAUGGUUAAUGCUCCCUGCAUUUCUAUGGUUUUGCUCUUUAUUUCUUUUCAUCCCAUUAUUAACGUGCUUAGCAGCUCGUGAUUAGCAUAAUGCAAAUACAAUUGCUCUCCAUUAUAAAUUCUUGUGUUUUUCCAAAUAACUGAGUGAUUUUAAAAAUAACUCUUUUAUUAGCAUGAUUCUAAUGUAGUUUCUUUUACAACUCUUUUGCAAAUAGAGAGUGAUUUUUAAAAAGAAAGCAUGCCACGCAAAUAAUAGUUGUAUUGCAUUGAGCCCAGUGCAUAGGACUAACACCCUACGUUACAAUUCAUAUCUACAUAUAUGCAGCAAUGGGUAGCUUGGGCCGCAAGAAAAGUCCCAGCCCAACUACAGUUACAAGGCCCAAUAGGGCUAUACGGCUAAUUCUAACAAAAUAACUCUUGUUUCUGCAAAUUAUGAAUGAUCUGAAAAGGAAAUGGUAAGCAUAAAUAAGAUGAUGUACAAUCUAUGAGAUUGAGUAGAUAAGAUUUAGGCUGGCAUAUGCAUUAUACCAUUUUUCUUUGCUACUUUCACAUUGCACCCAUCUUCUUUUCGUCCCAGAGUAGUAGUAGACUCUUCUGGGAAUUAACAUUGUUCUACAAUAGGGAAGGAAAAUAAAUGUUCCUUAUUGCUGUUUAGGUGGUUUACAACGCAAAUAAACUUGCUGAUCUGGUUGAAAAGAAGAAGAAGAUGCAAAACUGGCUUGAUUAUUACCGACUAAAGUAUGAGCGGAAUCCAUCAGAGAGGCCCACCACAAAGGUUUGUCAGCAAGAAUAAUUAGAUAGCUAUUUUGUUUUUUGAUGUAGAUUUUGGUUUGUGCAUCUCUAAACUGUAAUACUGUAUUAGUAUCUUUAGUAUUAAUUCCUUGUGCUUUCCCUGAGCUUUGUUGCAGACUGGCUUUCUUGGAUGUUUUGGUUCCAAGGUGGAUGCUAUUGACUAUUACAAAUCAGAGAUCGAGAAAAUUGGGAAAGAAGUAAGUUGUAGUUUCUGUACAACUAGAUUGUUAGCUCUUGCAUCUAUGCUUUAGUGUAUACUUUACAUAUUGCUUAUUUUGAUAGGGCUGGAUGCUGAUAUUGUGUUUCCAACAUUCAUUAGCGUUUGCUUACAGUUAACAUGUAUAAUAACUUUAAAUUAAUGCUUUGCAAUACACAGGAAGCUGAAGAGCGUAAAAAGGUCAUGAAGGAUCCAAAAUCAGUUGUGCCAGCAGCCUUUGUUUCGUUUCGCUCCCGAUGGGGUGCAGCAGUCUGUGCUCAGACCCAACAAACCAGCAAUCCAACAGUCUGGUUGACAGAAUGGGCUCCGGAACCUCGUGAUGUUUAUUGGAAUAAUCUGUCCAUCCCAUUUGUGUCCCUUACAGUUAGGAGGUUGAUAAUUGCUGUGGCAUUCUUCUUCCUUAACUUCUUUUACAUCAUCCCAAUAACACUAGUACAGUCUCUUGCAAACCUUGAAGGAAUAGAGAAGGCACUUCCAUUUCUAAAACCCUUGAUUGAAUUGUAAGUCUACAUUAACUUUUGGCUUUAUGCUAUUUCCUUGACUUUUCAGCAUAGCUUAUGGUAGUAUUUUGCAUGUUCUUUUGAUGACAUGUCCUGAUUUCUGCUUGUCAACUAUUAUGCAGGCCAUUCAUUAAAUCAUUCAUCCAAGGGUUUCUUCCUGGAAUUGCUUUGAAGAUCUUCCUUAUAGUUCUUCCAACUAUACUGAUGUUUAUGUCUAAAUUUGAAGGACUGAUAUCACAGUCAUCUUUGGAGAGGCGAUCUGCAUCAAAGUAUUAUAUAUUCUUGUUCUUCAAUGUAUUUUUGACGAGUGUAAUUGCAGGAUCUGCUCUGGAGCAGCUUAAAACCUACCUCCAUACGUCAGCAAAUGAGUAUGUCCUCAUGUCCUGUGCCACCUGAUCUACUGACAUUAUUCCUACUGUAUAAGAUUCGAUAGCACAGCAUGGAUACUGAGUUACUGACUUACUGAGUACUCUGUUGGCCAAAUUGAGUUGUCAUUUUUUUUUCAUGUAUAUAUUGUGUGUUAGGUUUGUGUGGGUGAUAUAAUUUCAGUCUGAUGGUUAAUCCUUGGGACAGAUAAAAUGCAUAGUCCUUGUCAUGUACAGAUAUAUUAAUUGUUCAUUUCACAGGAGCAAUAAACGGUAGAAGUAGAAUUCAAGAGUCUAGGAUAAUACUAAUAGCAAGCUUGUUAGAAAAAAAAGUUUAGGAGAUUGAUGUUCAAUGAUAACAUAAUUUAAGUUUAGAAGGUAGACUGAUUGUUUGGUAGUACAAUACAGGUUUGGCACUAAGACCUAACUAACUCCUGUAUUAGAGGGGAACUUGAUUGGGCAGAAUAUACUGUUACUGGAGCCUUUCUCUAGAACAGGUUAAUGUUAGAGAGAGUCGACUCAUGUGUAUAUGUUUCUGAUAAUCUAUUCCUUGCAUUCUCAUAAUGAAAUUAUAAAAAGGCAGUCAUGAUUUUCAGAGUGUCUAAAUUGCUUGUUUCUGCAGCAUACCAAGGAUCAUUGGUGAUUCCAUCCCAAUGAAGGCGACUUUUUUCAUAACAUAUGUAAUGGUUGAUGGUUGGACUGGAAUAGCUGGUGAAAUAUUGAGACUGAAGCCGCUGAUAUUCUUCCAUCUGAAGAACUUGUUCUUGGUCAAAACUGAAAAGGACAGAGAAGAGGCAAUGGAUCCUGGCAGUAUCUGCUUUGACUCAACCGAACCUAGAAUACAGCUAUACUUCUUGCUUGGCCUUGUUUAUGCUGCGGUGACACCGUUCCUGCUUCCUUUCAUAUUGGUGUUCUUUGGGUUCGCAUAUGUCGUCUUCCGCCACCAGGUAUGGAAUCCCUUUUUGAGGGUUUACGGAUUAUGAAACCCCACUAGGGGCAUUCAAAAUUGAUUUUGAAUAAGUUGCCUGAUUUGAGUCUUGUCUGCUUGUGUUAGAUAAUAAAUGUCUACAACAUUGAUUUUGAAUAAGUUGCCUGAUUUGAGUCCUGUCUGCUUGUGUUAGAUAAUAAAUGUCUACAAUCAGCAAUAUGAGAGCGCCGCUCAGUUCUGGCCUAGUGUUCAUGGGCGUAUAAUCACAGCGUUGAUCGUAUCGCAACUGCUGCUCCUGGGACUGAUGAGCACAAACGACUUUGAGCAGUCGACGCCUGUGCUCCUUGUUCUUCCUGUGCUGACCUUUUGGUUUUACAAGUACUGCAAGAACCGGUUUGAGCCGGCGUUCGUGAGGAACCCACUGCAGGUAUUAUAUUUCACCGUGGCAUAUACUAGAUUGAUGGUGGUAUUUUGUUGUCUACAUGCAAGUUGCUGAACAUAUAUAUAAUGAAAUUGGCAGGAGGCGAUGAAGAAGGACACCCUGGAACGUGCCCGGGAGCCCAACUUCGAUCUGAAGGCGUACCUGGCCAACUCGUACCUGCACCCGGUGUUCAAGGGGGACGAAGGCGACGACAGGUACUCGGUGGUGGAUGACGAAGGGUGGAUGGAGGAGGAGGUGAUUGUGCCGACGAAGCGGCAUUCAAGGAGGACGACGCCCGCGCAGAGCAAGCACGAAGGAUCAGACUCGCUCUCUGUGCCCGAGAGCCAGCGAUAGCCACUAGAGUAGGUAGCCUGUACAGAAUGGUUGAAAAUGAGGGAGAUGCUGCUCCUGCUCUAUUUCUUUGUUUUGGGUUGGUUGCUCAUGACACUGCUAGUGGUGCGUACAAUUGAGAAUACAAGCGGUAUACAUACAGACAUGUUGGUUGAUCUGCAACCGAUCUCAUAGAACAGAAUUCAAGAGAGCUGGGGUAGGACUGAGGGGGAGAGAAUGUUCACUGUAGCUUGAGCAAAGAAUAUGAAUACAACAGUUACAUUAUCUGAUCUGAUGAAUUUGUUAGCAUCAUCCAUCCAUCUCUAGAGUUCUACAUACAUACAUCACCUAGCUUGGCCGCUCUCCUACCAUUCUGGUAAUCGGAGAACAGUCAAGUAAAAACAAAAAAUGCUCUAAAUUAAGACAAAAAACUUGACGGAUCAGUCAGUGCAUAGAUGAGAGCAGAGCAGAUCAGUCAUGCCACCUGAGAAGCAUCACGACGCAUCUCAUGGCGAUGUACACCUUGGACCUCUGCUCCUUGAGAGAUCUGCCGAACCCUCCAGCUCCAGCGGCUGAUCGGCUCCUCAGCUGGCUCCCAGCCUUCAUCUUCUUCAUCCUCAGGCUGCUUCCUUGCUUGCUUGCUUGUGCAACAGGAAGCAGCAAUGGCAGAACAGGCAGGCUUGUGGAUAUGUAGAGGCUUGCUGCAGAGCUUCCCAUGGACUCUCUCUUAUAUAGCUAGAUAUAGGCUUAACUGCUUAAGCAGACGCAGAUCUCAGAGCUGCAGGACAGGAGUAAGUACAUUAUUAGUUAUUAGUUGCAUAAUUGCAGGCCUGGAGGAUGAGGAGAGUGAUGGGCAUCACUGGCAACCCACGCCUGCAUGCCGCUGCACCAUCAGACAUGGCCGUGAAAACUUGAGCUUGUUUAUAUCUGGCCUUAUAUUUUACACUACGGCAACUGCAAUGGCCUCCAUGAUCCGAUUCCUCUUGUCGGCUGCGUGCCCUCAUCUAACUAUCAAUCCACAUGAUCAUGCAUGUGUCGUCAUGUGCGAUGUGAGGUGGUAGUACUUGGGUAGCUGCCGCUAAGCUUCCUCCAGUCCAACUCGGAUUAGAUUACUCUGCUCCAAAUACAAGAACUUGGCACAGCACGCAAGAGAAAGAGAUGCCCUGCUUGGUCACCUGCCUACGCCGAAUUUCUCUGUUUGAUCUGCUGCUCACUGCCAUUACGACACGGCAAGUUGGAGGCACGCAGAACAAACCACACACCCUGGCCUGUAACUGCAGCAGCAGACAAAGAGGACGGGAGCUCUGAAUCAAAUAUAUAUAUAUUAUCACAUGCAGCACGGUGAAUGAUGCAUGCAAGCAAACUUUAUUUUAGGAGGCAGAGAGCAUCUUCGUUGUAUUGGUACAUUGUAUCGCGCGCGCCUGCAAUUUCCUUGUUGCAGCUUGCAUUGUCAGCAGAGAGCUACGUAUGAGUUGAAACAGAGAGACAUGAAUGAAACUGCAAUUUUGCAGAAAUAUGAAACUGCAAUUUUGCAGAAAUAUUGCAGCAGGCACUUGACUAUGAAUGAAACUGUAAUUUUGCACAGACUGCAGAAGUGCAGAAGGCACUUGAAAAGUUUUAAGAAGAAGCUAACUAGCUAGGUAGCAGUCUUGCAUGCUCCCAACUAAGUCGCAAUGUCCCAUCUCAACCAGCUCGAUCUGUUUCCUUACGUUUACAGAUGAAACUAAGUAUCAGAAGCCACUGCAUAUAUGUCCUUGUUUAUUUGUUCUAGUACAUAUAUCUUGUUGUUCAUCAGGAACUCCGACCCUUGAUCAGAUAGAUGCAACGAACUCGAUGCAGUUUGAUCUCGGCCCAUGCUUGCUUGCAGAGUUCUCAUUAUGGUCUCCUUUUACGUACCUUGCAAAAAACAUGGACAAACAAAUGAAGAAAAAGGUAAGUGGUACAUGUACAUAGAUACAAGGAUCGGAGGAGAUCAGAAGAAGAGGAAAUCAGUAGACCAUGCACAGUAUGUAGCACACAAGUACACAUUGCAACAUACUGACUACAGAUAGGUAGGCAGGUAGGUAGCCAAUGCAAGAAUCAACCAAUUGCAACUAAUAAUGCAGAAACGGCACAGCUAGCGUUAUUGGUGUAUGCAGAUCAGCAGAUGUAUCCUGUGUAGGAAUAUAAUGAGCAGGUAGCAGAUGCAUGGCUGCAUUACAUCACCUGAUGAGCCCUGAGAGCAGAAUAUAAUGCUGGCUGAUGCAUGAUGGUGUAGACUGCUGUAUCGAUCAAGAGCAUGCAGCAGCCAGGGCUAGCUUCCCUGUUGCCUGCUGCGUGGUAUGUGUUUGGAAUCGCCAUGGAUGGAUCGGCGAUGUCAAAUGCUUUCUCUUGCCUUGGUAGCAAGUAAGGGAUCGAUGCCGAUGGUAAUGCUGUAUACUACUAGUAGUAGGGUAUAUAUGCAGUCGAUGAUGAUGCAGGCAACAAAACAACAUAUGCAUAUGCACGAUCGAGGAAGAAGGGAGAUGAGGGAGAGGAAGCAACGCAUGAGCACUGCAUGAUGCUCCCGCCCCGUCCGACACGGGGUGCGUGGCCGACAAACAGAUGCGCAGGCGGAGGAGGCGGCGGCAGCCUGCCUGAUUGCCGCCCAUGAAUCCAUCCAUGAUGGAUGAUAUAGAUGCUCUCUGUCCAGUCCAGUCUUCGAUCUUUGCCACUGUGUCCAAGUCAACCACUGUGUGUUACUCCGGUCGGCCGUAAAAACAGCCAAUACUAAUGAUCUUAAUUUGUUGUGAAAAAAAUACACAGCUGGUUAAUCAUAAAAUUUCUGGAAGACGCCCCAAUCUAUCUAUAACUCUUAUAAUUCUAAACCCCACUAAGUAUUUCUCUAAGCAUGCAAGCUAUCCACCUAAGCAAUGCACUACCAUAUUGAGUUAAAAUCCACUAAGUAAAACCUAAAUAACUAUUUAUCUCAACAUGCAAUGUGCUACCACAUAUAUACAAUUAAAAUCCAAUAGCACAUAUGAUAAUUGUAGUGUCCACGCCAGCAAGACAAAAAUAAGUAUAGUCCACAUCAUCGUACUAGGCAAUCCAUUAAUCCGCAAUUUCCGCAGCAACGCGCGGAGUAUGCUCCUCGUUUUUCAAAUUGGAUCGCUUGAUUGGAAAAGGCUUCAGGGUUAUAAUAAACCCUUAAAAAGGCAUAUAUCUAUCUGUGCCAUCUGCCUGCGGGCUGCGGCCCACCAUCUUCUUUUUCUGCGUCGAUCGAGGCCGUGCUGGGCCUAAUCCCAGCCCAGGAAAAUCAAAUCUCUUUCGGCUGUGAUUAUUGUUACGGCUACGGCUGCAUCUCACAGCUAGCCACAAAAAUCAGAAACGAUCAGAAAGCAUGCAAAUUUUGUUUUAAAUAAAUUAUAAGAUAUGUUCGGUGACUUAAUAACUAUCUCAAGGCACCAAUCACUUGCGUACUGCGUCUAACACGAGGUUCAAAAUAUGGUAAACACAAUAUCUAUCUACUGUUAAAGAAGGGUUACGACAUGAGUCAUUUGUUUUAAUUUUCCGCGUCAUGAAAUAGUUUAUAAAAUUUCUAGGAUAUACUGUAUUUUCAUGAUUGAGGGAGAAGUACAGUUAAAUACUUGUCUAGAUUGUUUCAAUGUACAGGAGGACUGAAAGAUUUAUGCAAUCUAUAUUUGAUAUUUCAAUCCAAAAAACAAACAGGCCUACCAGCAUGAACGAGGUGCUACCAUACCACCAUGCUGUAGAGUAGUAGAAUGCAUGCACGAGGUUAUCACAGUCAAGCAUGCAGCAUGUCAGCAGCUUUAUAUUACCAGCUGAUGAAUCAGCAAGUUUAUUAUAUUACCAUGAGAGAACAAGGAGAUAAUCACAAUCUUCAAAUGAAAAAGUCUACUGUAUCAAAUCAGAAGAAAGAUGUAUAUAUAUGUACAUGUGCUCUUGGCCCGGAAGGAAACCAAGAGCUGGUGGGCUGGAUUAUAAAUAAUAAUUAGUAAAUAUGCCCGUACAUUAUAACGAGAAAAAAAGUUCUAUCAAACAUGAAUAAAAAACGAGAAUGAGAAUGUUAUAUAUCUAUUCAUUUUAUUACACUUUGUAAAAUUUUAAACUAAAUUAUGUUUUAUGUUGAUCAUAAAGAAGUCGUUUUAGAAAAGGACACUGUCUCUAAAACAUAACUUUGACUUUAUUUUUCUAUAAGAAAAUUUAUUUAAAAGUGAUAUAUGUAUACUUUUGUAAAAGUAUAUUUCAAGACAAAUCUAUUCAUAUGUUUUUCACAUUUCCAAACUCAAUGACUUAAAAGUUAUUUAUCAUGAUUUAUAUUUUCAAUGUUUGACCCCCUUAUCCAAAAUGACUUCUUUUACCAACCUAGAGGGAGUAUAAUUUAAGUUGAUAUUGACAAUAAUAUGAUAAUAUUUUAUUAAAUUUGUUUAAAAUUAAAAAUAUAACCUUGAUAGAUAUUUUUCUCUUCUAUUGUAAGGCAUAAAAAUAUUUAGUUGUCAAUAAUAUCAUAACUUUAAUUUUCAUACUAUCCUAUAUUGAUAGAGUUGGAUACUGAGUUUCAUGACUUUUUUUAGACCCAUAAAAAUAUGUAAUUUAGGAUUGUUCACGACACCAACACCGGACCGGUUCAACAGUCGGACUCACUAAAUAGCGAACGUUCAUCAAAUUUGAAUCUAGCGAACGAUCAGACAGCCUCCACGACUUUCCUUUUUUGGCAAAAAAAGAAAUCCCGCAAUUUUCUAUUUUUGGAAAGUUUUCUAUUUUAGGCAAAAAAAAUCGCUACUUUUCUUUUUUGAAAAAUUGUACUCACAACUUUUACGUAAAACUUAUGGAACAAACUUUUACGUAUAACUUAUAUACAUGACUUUAAUAUAUACCUUCACUGUGACAAAGUUACACACAUAACUUAUACAUAUAACUUACUACAUGAUAAAGUUAUGCGCACAACUUUUAUCUAUAAUAUUUUAUGGAACAAGUUUAUCAAUAUAAUUUAUGACGAGACAAUUUAGCGAACGUUCAAAAAAGUUAAAAUUAAAACUUAAGCAUAUAAUUUAAUUAAACCAAUUUUAACAUAUAAGUUAAUAACUGCAAGUUAAGCACAAAAUAUAAUAAAUCAAAUAGUUUUGCAAAAAGUUAGACAUAAAAGAUAAUAAUUAUAAGUUAAUAUCUACUAGUUACAUGUAGAAAGUUAGAUAUAAAAUUUGUGUACAAAAAGUUAGAUAUAAAAGUUACGUGCAGAAGUUAAUAAUUAUAAAAUUUACAUCUAGCAUUUUAAAAUAAAUGUUUUAUUUUUAUAUGAUAUCAGCGGUGGUUAUGAAAAAACACGCUAGAAGAGGAGGUAGUUUGAACCUUUGUUACAUCAAAUCUAAGUGAACGAUCGCCCAAAUAAAAUAAGGGUUGACAGCAUAUAUAAAAAGAAAAAAUUGAUAGACUUAUAUCUAUACCUACUAAUAAAUUGUGAAAAUUUCAGUCUGCCAAAAUUUUCUUCAGCCCCGUCUAGCCCAGCCCGGAAUCAGUCUCUCGGUUCAUUUAAAGCUUGUAGGAGAGAAAAAGAAAAUAGAAUAUUUUCUAGGGUUCCCAAUGCAAAAUCUUCAGUUCACGGGAUCGCUGGCCUCGGCCCGUCGGGCGGCCCUUCGGCCGUCCGCUCGUAGAAAGUAAAAAGAAAAUAAUUUUUUUUAGGAUUCCCAAUGCAAAAUCUCUUAUAUUCUAUUAAUUUUCUUUUCUUUUAUUCUUUAAUUUGGCUGAAAAUUAAUAAAUAUGUAGUGAUUCAUAGAAAAUCUAAAAAAUACAAAACAAAUUUUAUUCAGCUCCACAUAUGUAGAUCCAUACAGUAAACAAAAAAUAGGUGCAAAGUGUUUAUCCUAUUAAUUUACUUUUCUUUUAUUCUUUAUAUCGACUAAAAAUUAAUAAAUGCGUAGAAAUUCAUAGAGAAAACUAAAAAUUACAAAAUAAAAUUUGUUAAGCUCCACAUAUGCAGAUCCAUGUAGUAAAGAAAAAAUAUCAUAAAUUUUAGUAUAUUUUUUUGCUGAAGAUGCUUGCCUAUGCUUUUUAGUGUAAAAUUGAAAUUGUAGUUAUCUUGCUCCAAUUAUUAUAAAAAUUUUAUGGUAGCCUAUUUAAUGUGAUGCUUGAUUUGUGGUAAAAGUUUUAGCACCAUUCCUGCAUAUCUCACUAAUUUACUAAUUUACCUAAAUUUAUGCUUGCUAAAUAGUUUAGCAUCAAUUUAAGUAUGUACAAAUAUAAAAAAGAUGCCUCCACUACCUUUGCACGAUGUGUUGUUAUAUCAUAUGACACUUCAUAAGCCCAUGUGUUCAUAAUCUAUAUACAUUUAACUGAUAUAUCAUAUUUUAUAGGAAUCCUAAUCUAAAUAAAAAAUGCUAGCAACAAACUUCUUAUGUUUUAAUAUAAUACUAUUUUUAUUAUUAAAUAAAUAUGUCUCCAAGCUACAUAAUAUUGUAAAUAUUAACUAUCUCAUACCAUAGAUGUCAUGGUUAUCAAUAAAAUAAAUUAUGGACUUUAAUUUUUAUAAAAAAAGAUAAAUAUAAAUAGAUAUGUAACAUUAUGUCAUCACUUUUUAUGACCAUUUGAUGUUUUUCUCCCGUUGCAACGCACGGGCAUAUUUGCUAUAAAAAAUAAAAAGAGAAAAAAAGGCAAAAGAAAAAUUAAAAAUGUUUUAUAACUUUUGUGCUUCAAAGUUUUGGCAUAAGUUGUAAGUUAUAUGGUAUAAGUCAUAUGGUGAUAAGUUUUACAAAGUGUUAUACCAAGUUGUUAGUAUAACUUAUAGAAGUAAGUUAUAUUCUAUAACAUAUAUGUAUAACUUAGUCACCUUCUAAAAAUGGAAAGUUGCGGAAAUUAUUAUUUCCAAAUAAGGAAAGUUGCGGGAGUAGCUGAUGAUUCGCUGGAUUCGUUACUGGUGAACGACCGUGGAAUUGCAUUUGGGCCAGUUCAACAUGGAUGGCGUGUGAUUAAUUUUUGGCUUUCCUUGUUCGUUAUCUAUGAUGACGUGAUUAUAGGAGUCCUUGUUUGAUUUGAUUUUUUGAUAUAGGAACAUAGGACUCCUAUUUAGAUUAGAAUUUCUAUAUAAGCACGAGUUAUAUAUAUAAUUUUAGACAAAAAAAUUCUCCAUUGUCACAAGAAGAUGAAUAGAAAAUAGAUGGACAAAAGGAAUAAUAAAAUAUUAUUUUUUUAUUGUUAGAUAUAGAUAAAUAAACUAAACUAACGUGGGGUGGGUAGGAGCUCCCGUUAGGAAGGAAUUGGAAGGAAAACGGAAAACCGCCUACUUUGUUCAGAUCUUUUUUUUUAUUUUAACACCAUAGCAUUUUCAUAUUUAUUUGACAAAUAUUAUUCAAUUAUAGAGUAAUUAAGUUUAAAAGAUUCGUUUCGCGAUUUACAGAUAAAUUAUACAAUUAAUUUUUAUUUUUAUUUAUAUUUAAUAUUUUAUGCAUAUACAAUAAGAUUUGAUGUGAUGGAUAAUUUUUUUAAAAAAAAUAGUUUUUGAGGUAACUGAACAAUGCAGAUCUGUUUCCCAAAACUGUGGAUUCCUUCCUUCUUUCCUCGCCGUCCCUGUCUCAUCAGUCCACAGUCGGCAUCUGCUGGCCUCCGGAAUUCUCUCUUGGACCACUGCAAUGGCCAAGGAAUCUUCAACAUAAACUAGAGUACUGCUGGUACCUAGUACUCCUCUUCGGAAAAUGAAAAGAAAAUCUAGUACGUACACCGGUUCCAUGUUUCUAAUAUUAUCUUGUUAUAUCAUGACAUGAUUAGAAGCCUUCUUUUUUUUCCUAGCCGUCUACUGCUUAUACUACCUCCACCCUAAAAGAAAACAAUUCUAUCUAUGUUUAAAACAAGUUAGUUUUCCUCUCUAUGUUUGACCAGAAAAUAAUUUUAAACAUUUAUAUCUUCAGAGAAGCUUACUAAAAAACAUACAUACUUUAUAAAAUUAUCUAAUAAUAUUUAUUUGGUAUUAUAAAUGUUAUGUAGCAUUUUCCAAUAAAGUACUCCCUCCGUCCACGAAAGAGUCAAUUUCUAGAGCUGUCUUAAGUCAAAAUUUUUAAACUUUGACCAAAUUUCUAGAAAAAAAUGCUAGAAUUUAUAGUAUCAAAUUAGUAUUAUUAGAUUCAUCAUAGAAUAUAUUUUCAUAUAAUGUGUAUUUUAUAUUAUAGAUGUUGUUAUUCUUUUCUAUAAAGUUAGUCAAACUUUAAAAAGUUUGACUGGCACGGAUCCUAGGAAUUGAUUCUUUCAGGGACGGAGGGAGUAUAAGGACAAUAAAAGAGAGGAGAAAUAAAACCAGCCGUGGUUUUGGGCGCGCGCCCACAGAAAGACAAUAAUAGCGACGUUUGGGAAGCAAUGCCUUGCCAAUCUGUCUAGUUUUGGAUCCAUUCUAUUGGUUGGAGUCCCCCUGGAAACUGGGGCGGGAAGGCAAGAAAGGCCAGGCCACGUCAGGUGUCGCUGCAGGUUGAUUGGACACCGACCACGGAUCGGAUGGAUCUCAAGGCCUUGUUUAGUUUAAAAAAUUUUGCAAAACAGAUACAGUAGCACUUUCGUUUGUUUGUGACAAAUAUUGUCCAAUUAUAAAUUAACUAGAUUCAAAAGAUUCAUCUCAUCAAUUCCGACCAAACUAUGUAAUUAGUUUUUAUUUUCGUCUAUAUUUAAUACUCCAUGCAAAUUCCGACCAAACUAUGUAAUUAGUUUUUAUUUUCGUCUAUAUUUAAUACUCCACGCAUGCGUCUAAAGAUUCGAUGUGACUAGAAAUCUAAAAAAUUUUGCAAAAUUUUUUAGGAACUAAACAAGGCCAGUUGAUCCAGUGCAUGCAUGCGUUGCAAGUACUCUAUGGUUUUGACUUUUGAGUAUUGUGUUGGACUAUUUAUCUUAUUUAUAUUUUUUAUUAAUUGUAUUGUAAAAUAAAUAAAUUAUUAUCUUUAAUUGUAAAAUAUUUUAAAAUAAAAUAAUUAAUAUAGCUUCCUGUUCGGGUGUUGGAUGGAACUGGAAAAAGCCACCGGUGGUCUUGCUCUUCCAUCGUCACGUACUCCUACUCCUAAUGAGUAAUGACGACGGUGAGCCGAUGAUAUAUGAUGGAUGGACGGACGCGGCGAGAGCCACAGAUCCCUCCUAGUCCAUUCCAUUGUUAGAUGUUUACUUCCAAUGUUCUACACUUAUACAUGGAUAGAUUGGUCGCUAUAUAUCGGAAUGGAAUAUCAUAAGAUUAGUUUAGAAAAAUAGACAAAGCUACAAAUUAAGUUAAGGUAAUGCCACAACC
rnacentral:lncRNA from 1 species